UACGGAGGGGGCUAGCGUUGUUCGGAAUUACUGGGCGUAAAGCGCGCGUAGGCGGACCUGUAAGUCGGGGGUGAAAGCCCGAGGCUCAACCUCGGAACUGCCUUUGAUACUGGCGAUCUCGAGUCCGGGAGAGGUGAGUGGAACUGCGAGUGUAGAGGUGAAAUUCGUAGAUAUUCGCAAGAACACCAGUGGCGAAGGCGGCACGCUGGGCCAUAACUGACGCUAAGACUCGAAAGCAUGGGUAGCGAACGGG
rnacentral:rRNA from 1 species